rnacentral:sRNA from 1 species
GCUAGGCUGGUUCAGCCGGACCGGGUAGGGGUCCUCGCUCGCUAGCUCGCUGUUUCUCGGAGAAGCCCCCGAGUGUCCGGCCUAGAGGCCAUGAGAAGGCAGUGGGGGUCUGCCAUGAGGGCGGCCGAGCAGGCGGGCUGCGUAGAGUGUGGCCAUCUGGGGCUGUGUGGUAUUUGCCACUCAGGAGACAUGUCCCUAUGACAUAGCAGUGGUGAGCCUGGAGGAGGACCUGGAUGAUGUCCCCAUCCCUGUGCCCGCUGAGCACUUCCACGAAGGCGAGGCUGUGAGUGUGGUGGGCUUUGGCAUCUUUGGCCAGGCUUGCGGGCCCUCGGUGACCUCAGGCAUCCUUUCGGCUGUGGUGCAGGUGAAUGGCACGCCCGUAAUGCUGCAGACCACGUGUGCUGUGCACAGCGGCUCCAGUGGGGGACCCCUCUUCUCCAACCACUCAGGAAACCUCCUUGGCAUAAUCACCAGCAACACCCGGGACAAUAACACGGGGGCCACCUACCCCCACCUGAACUUCAGCAUUCCCAUCACGGUGCUCCAGCCGGCCCUGCAGCAGUACAGCCAGACCCACGACCUGGGUGGCCUCCGUGAGCUGGACCGUGCUGCUGAGCCUGUCAGGGUGGUGUGGCGGCUGCAGCGGCCCCUGGCAGAGGCCCCGAGGAGCAAGCUCUGAGGCUGUGUUACCACCUUUGGAAAGAAGAGUGACCUUUUUCUGCUGUAGGAAGUGAUGUUGAGGUGAUGGUGGCCUCAGGAUUCAGGGCCCAGCCCCUGCAGGGGCCCGGGCUACCUCUCAUCUCCACCCAGUGACUGCAGUCUGGGCUUUGGGCUCUGGGGCAAACUUCUCUUCAGCCCCAUGGAUCCUUAACCUGGCAGCCCGUUUUGGGGUGCUUUCUUGAGCCCCCAGUUCUCUGUCCCCUAGCACUAGACUCAGCUGUAUUGUUUUUCCUUCUGGGGAGCCCACUCCAACUGCACAGAAGUUCUGGGCCUGACAGGUAGAUGCCAGCUGGAAGGCAGGCCCAUGCCUGGUUUUGUGUCUGUUCCCCUGAGGGCCAUUGUCAUCCUGGAGCUUCAAUGGGGCCUUGGCUCCUGUCUGCCUCUCAGUCAGAGUCAGGGCUGACAGAGGACUCAGCUUCCUUAGCAUCUCAUCAGAAACCUUGCUGUGAAGACCAGAGACAGAAGGGACAGAAACAGGAGUGCCUCCUGCUGUGCCAGGCCCGUGGGCAGUGCAGGCAGAUCCCUGAAGGUCAGCACUCCUGGGUCUUCAUAAGCCAACAGGGGCGCUCUUGACACUGUGCCUUUGUUUUCCAGCCCACAGCCUGGGUCUCAGGGAUCUUGAGGGGUAGAACAUGUCUGGUUGGGGCUUGGGAAUAAACCUGAUCUAUUGAAAAACCUCUGUAUUUAUAUAUCAAAUUGUUGCUUUUUUUCAGGAGUUGAACUGGGAAUAGGCGAGUACCAGGCAAAGAAACACACCCUUUCCUUUUUUUUUUUUUUUUUUUUUAGAGCUGUGGUCUUGCUCUCUCACCCAGGCUGGAGUGCAGUGUUGCGAUCAUGGCUCACUGCAGCCUCAAACUCCUGGGCUCCAGGAGACCUCCUGCCUCAGCCUCCUGAAUAGCUGGGACUACAGUCGCGCACCACCACGCCUGGCUAAUUUUUUAUUUUUGUAGAAUGGAGGUAUUGCUUUGUUGCCCGUGCUGGCUUCAGCCUUCUGGUUUCAAGCAGUCCUCCUGCCUCAGCUUCCCAAAGUGCUGGGAUUACAGGUGUGAGCCACUGUGCCCAACCCAGAAAUACACCGUUUCUGUGCUGUUUUCUCAGCAGGGUGUGAGCUCAUGGGAUACGGUCCUGCCAGACUGGCCCUCAUAGCUGUUCAUGUGCCAGUCAGAGCUGGGUGGGGCUUGCAGGUCCCGGAAGGUGGUGGUCUUGACCUGGCAGCAGGUGCUUAAAGAAUGCCUAAGGUGGGUGUCAGCUGGGGAGUUCAAGGGUGAAUGAGGCCAGGGCAACCCCCGGGAGCUGAGGCCAACUCUUUGAGUCAGGACUGUGCCGUGUGCCCAGGGCCCUGCAUGUGUGGGCCCUCGAGUGAUUUCUACUGGCAGGCUGAAAGCCCUGUGAGGGGCGGCUGUGGGCGGAGGCCACGCAGGAAGAGUGCUUAGGAGUAACUUGUUUCUAACACCUGUGUGCUGAGUGCCAGUGCUGGGUGUGGUGUUAUGAUAUAUAUUGGUUUUCAUCCAGCAUUCCUGACUCGUAACGCUCAUAGUCCUUGUUCCAGUCUUUGUUAGAAUGUUGGGUAUGUUAGGGCUCAGGGGGCAGGCCUCUGACCUCUGGGUAUCCUUUCACUAACGUUCGCCCACCUUUUUGACAGUGGGUCCUAAAGACCUUCCCAUGAGAGGGUCUCAAUCCUGGGGGAAGGAAUGCUGAUGUCAUGAAGCUUCCAUAAAAACCCAAGAGGACAGGGUUCAGAGAGCUUCUGGAUAGCUGAACACCUGGCGCUUCCUGGCAUGUGGCGUGCCCAGGGAGGGCACGGAAGCUCUGCACUCCUUCCCCUUUCCUCAUUCCUUGCUCUAUGUGCGUCUCUUCAUCUGUAUCCUUUGCGAUAUCCUUUAUAAUAAACCAGUAAACAU